UUCGGGUCGCCGGCGAGUGGCAAACGGGUGAGUAACGCGUGGAUACCUGUCCUGUGGUGGGGAAUAACGUUUAGAAAUGAACGCUAAUACCGCAUAAGCCCUGCGGGGGAAAGAUUUAUCGCCAUAGGAGGGGUCCGCGUCGGAUUAGCUAGUUGAUGGGGUAACGGCCUACCAAGGCGACGAUCCGUAGCUGGUCUGAGAGGAUGAUCAGCCACACUGGGACUGAGACACGGCCCAGACUCCUACGGGAGGCAGCAGUGGGGAAUAUUGCGCAAUGGAGGAAACUCUGACGCAGCGACGCCGCGUGGGUGAAGAAGGCCUUAGGGUUGUAAAGCCCUUUCAGUGGGAAAGAUGAUGACGGUACCCACAGAAGAAGCCCCGGCUAACUCCGUGCCAGCAGCCGCGGUAAUACGGAGGGGGCCAGCGUUGUUCGGAAUUACUGGGCGUAAAGGGCGCGUAGGCGGUUGAUCAAG
rnacentral:rRNA from 1 species